GAUGAACGCUGGCGGCGUGCGUAAUACAUGCAAGUCGAGCGAACGGACGAGAAGCUUGCUUCUCUGAUGUUAGCGGCGGACGGGUGAGUAACACGUGGAUAACCUACCUAUAAGACUGGGAUAACUUCGGGAAACCGGAGCUAAUACCGGAUGAUAUUUUGAACCGCAUGGUUCAAAAGUGAAAGACGGUCUUGCUGUCACUUAUAGAUGGAUCCGCGCUGCAUUAGCUAGUUGGUAAGGUAACGGCUUACCAAGGCAACGAUGCAUAGCCGACCUGAGAGGGUGAUCGGCCACACUGGAACUGAGACACGGUCCAGACUCCUACGGGAGGCAGCAGUAGGGAAUCUUCCGCAAUGGGCGAAAGCCUGACGGAGCAACGCCGCGUGAGUGAUGAAGGUCUUCGGAUCGUAAAACUCUGUUAUUAGGGAAGAACAUAUGUGUAAGUAACUGUGCACAUCUUGACGGUACCUAAUCAGAAAGCCACGGCUAACUACGUG
rnacentral:rRNA from 1 species